CAGCAAUUAACAAGUUUAAUUAUUAACUUCGAGAAAAUAGUCCGAAUCUAACGAAGUACAACUUGUGGAGAAUGGAUGUUGACAUGAUGAUGCAAGCUCGCCAGUGUUUAAAACCAAUAUGAAGCUUGAUUUAGACACUGCAAUAUAAGGAGAGAGGCAGACCAGAAACCUCUGGCUAAAGCAAAGAUAAUAUGCAUAACAUAAGUAGUUACAUAAUUCACAAGAGUGCAAAGUUAUGAUGACCAUGCAGAGACAAGAUACCAUAACAAAGACCUGCAUGCAUGCAUAAAAAGGAUGUUCACUCAAUUUUUCAGAAUAAUGUGUCAGAUUGAAAUUCAUCUUAUGUUGGACAAAACAAUCAGGACGUUCAUUUGGAUCACAGCUAGCACAAAUUAAAGUAUUGACAAAACCAAAGAUUACCUGGUAGUCUGCAAAUGGAGUGAUCAUUGGAUGAGCCAGACAACACCAUUUUCCUCAGAAAUUUUAGGAUAGAGACUAGUCACUUGAUCUCCAUCUUCAUUCAUAGAUGACUGAUGUCGACAUUUUCUCACUUCUGUUUCAUGUUUUUACAUGGACUCAACACUUCAGCAUCAGUGGGCGCUUGACUUUUAUUAACAUUUAUUCCUCUGAAAUUCAUAUAAUAUCCUUUAAUAUAGGGCAUAAAUAACAAAUCAUUUAUCUUGUAAAAUAUUUUUAAAUUUUACUUAAUUAAUAAAACAAUGAAAACAGUUCAAACAAACUGGUUUAUCCUAUAAUCUAAAACUGUUUUAUGUUUGAAGUAAUUUAUAAUUUUACAGUUAAGAUACUUAAGG